rnacentral:rRNA from 1 species
GAUAAACGCUGGCGGCGUGCUUAACACAUGCAAGUCGAACGAAGUUUUUCCUUCGGGAGAAACUUAGUGGCGGACGGGUGAGUAGCGCGUGGGUAACCUGCCCUGUACAGGGGGACAACAGCUGGAAACGGCUGCUAAUACCGCAUAAGCCCUUAGCACUGCAUGGUGCAUAGGGAAAAGGAGCAAUCCGGUACAGGAUGGACCCGCGUCUGAUUAGCCAGUUGGCAGGGUAACGGCCUACCAAAGCGACGAUCAGUAGCCGAUCUGAGAGGAUGUACGGCCACAUUGGGACUGAGACACGGCCCAGACUCCUACGGGAGGCAGCAGUGGGGAAUAUUGCACAAUGGAGGAAACUCUGAUGCAGCGACGCCGCGUGAGUGAAGAAGUAUUUCGGUAUGUAAAGCUCUAUCAGCAGGGAAGAAAAUGACGGUACCUGACUAAGAAGCACCGGCUAAAUACGUGCCAGCAGCCGCGGUAAUACGUAUGGUGCAAGCGUUAUCCGGAUUUACUGGGUGUAAAGGGAGCGUAGGUGGCAAGGCAAGCCAGAAGUGAAAACCCGGGGCUCAACCGCGGGAUUGCUUUUGGAACUGUCAUGCUAGAGUGCAGGAGGGGUGAGCGGAAUUCCUAGUGUAGCGGUGAAAUGCGUAGAUAUUAGGAGGAACACCGGAGGCGAAGGCGGCUCACUGGACUGUAACUGACACUGAGGCUCGAAAGCGUGGGGAGCAAACAAGAUUAGAUACCCUGGUAGUCCACGCGGUAAACG